CUGUUGUUGUGCAAGAGCUCUAGGCUUCUGCCUCUGUUUCCCCAGGCUGUUCCACCAUCCUAGUCCCUGUGUGCCCUGCUCCCCAGGAGCUGCACAAAGUCCUUCUUCUGUUUGGGAAGGUGCAAGAUGAGAGCUGAGCUCUACAAACUGAAGUUUCAGAAGGCUGGCUUCAGAACUCCGAACCAUUAUGCCUGCUGUCUGAGACCUGGACUUGCAGGUGUAGCUGGGCAAAACAGAUGGCGUGCAGGAGGAAUGGACUGUUCUCUUUAGGACUGAAGCCUCCUGCAGCAUGGACUGUCUGGUGCAGUGUUCCCUCCUAGAUCUCACUGCGACAGUAAACUCUUCCCCUGCAAGAGGGCUGAGAAGACAGUUUAAUUGGCUUUUGGAGGAUUUCCACUUUUUUUUUCCUUUCUUCCCUCUCCUUAUACAGUAGGAAAAGGGAUYCAGGCUUUUUUUCCUGUGCUGCAGCAAUUGCUGACUGAAGGUGAGACAUCAGCUGCCCUAGCAGCUGCUCAGAGUCAUGCAGGGAGGCCAGUGGSCUUCUUUCACAGCAAGGGACAGAUGAUGCUCAGAGGCAGGGGCUUGAGAUCACCUAUCUCUGGGGUCACCCAGCUGCUAGAAUCGGCAGAAGCUGGAAAUCUGGAUCUGCCACUUUGAGCAGGGCAAGAUAUUUCUUGGGGUAAGAAAUGCACCCUGUUUUGGCUGAGCUGAUAGUGUUUUGUAGCUCUGAGAGCUGUUGGAUUGCAGUAGCUCUGAGGUCAAGGUGGAAUUGGUCACUGGCUACUUUAAAUGCCUUGCAGCCCUCGCUGAGAUCAGGAAUCAGUAGGAUGGGAAAGACACCAAAAUAACAAGAUCCUGCUGUUAACUAGCAGCUGCUGGCUGAUUAGCACUGGUGCUGCUGCCCAGGGCUCCAAGGUCAGCAAGAUGCUCCCUGAACAGCAAGAUGCCACAGCUGCUUCUGGGAGCAUGGCAGGUUGCUGAUAUGUAAAAAUCCUGUAGCAGCUCUGCUGUGUCUGGAAGGAGUGGAAUCCUUUCCCCCACAAAUGUGGGGAAAUUCUUCCUCCCAUACUUUUCUCAGUAGAGGGUAGAGAAAGUAGAGGAAGUAUGGGCUACUUUCAUCCUUUCUCCUGUGCCACAGGGGCAUUUGAUUAGUAUAGCAUUUAUUUAUUUUUCCCUGUGUGUGGAAGACCCUUGAGAUACUUGCUCCUAGAUGUCCAUCUGCUACUGACAGUAGCUGCUAUAUUUCUCUCUCUGAUGGGUGAGAACUGUCUCUGCAGUGCAAGUUACCCUUAUAAUUGAGGGUUCUGCCAGUUUAUAUUUAUCCUUGGGAUUUAGUAGAUAUCCACACAACAAAGUAAUGUGUUGGGCCUUGCACAAAAUUGUCCCAUAGCCAUAGAUAGCAGUCUUAGRUUUUCUGAAAACCUUCUGAUGACCCUAGAAAAGGAUCAGUUGAUAUUGAAAUUGAUAUUUGUAUGUGUAAGUGUGUGUGUGUAUAUGUAUAUAUAAGCUUUCUUUCAAUGUCCUCUGAGGCUGCAGUCACGAGGUUUCAAGACUGCGACUUGCUGACACUUAUSCACUUGGUGUGGUUACAAAUGUAGACUAAAUGUGAUCACAUAGGAGGAGGUAUAAAAAAAGGACUCAAAACUCUGAAAUCUCCAAAUUAAAGGAGUUAAGUAUUUUAGAAUAAGGAAUAAGCAUGAUUUCAUUGGCAUAAUCUAACAAUUACUAUUCUGUAUUACCUGAUUUGUCAUUCAUCUGGUUUAACCAGUGGACAGCAUAUUCAGUUUGGUGAACUAUGAAGAUAUCUUUGAUUCAAUGUAGGUGACAAAGGCAGUAAGACAAAUGCUUCAGACAGUGAUGCUCCCUUUAUGAAUAUUUUGAAUCAUUUCAAGGGAAUUUGAAGAGUCCCCUUCCCUCGUUCCCACUGGGGAAAUAUGUACAUACUUCAUCUCUCUAUCCUCUUCUGCAAUACAUCUCUGCUGCUCUUGUCUGUAAACAGUCAAAGGUGGCAGCAGGGUCAUGGAGAUUAUGUGUCUUGAUACUUAUGGACUUAUGGCCAGGGCAAUGGGGAGCUCAUCUCUGAACACCCAGAUCCUGGAAGGAUAUAAUUGUUUUCAGUUCUCAGUAGAAUACAGUAGAAUAGGCAGUUUCUGGAUGGUUUGUUUGGUUGUUUUUUUUCCCCCCCUCUUCCCCUUAAAUGUACCAUUUGAGGCAACAGUAAGUUGAGGGUGGAGCACCUGUGUGUUAAGGGUAAAACUAUCUAUAAAAGAAACUUUAGGAAAAAAUACUCUGCAAUUAUGUGUUUUGGAGAUUAAACAAUGUGUGUACAUUGCUUCAAGUAACUGACUUGUAAAAAAUGGUCUUGUGGCUUCUGUUGAGUGUCUUCUAUCAUAUUUAGA